rnacentral:rRNA from 1 species
CGUGUAGGCGGGUCGUUAAGUUGGGGUGAAAUCCCGAGGCUCAACCUCGGAACUGCCUUCAAAACUGGCGACCUGGAGCAAAGAAGAGGCGAGUGGAAUUGCGAGUGUAGAGGUGAAAUUCGUAGAUAUCCGCAGGAACACCAGUGGCGAAGGCGACUCGCUGGUCUUUUGCUGACGCUGAGACGCGAAAGCGUGGGGAGCAAACA